rnacentral:rRNA from 1 species
UACGGGGGGGGCAAGCGUUGUUCGGAAUUACUGGGCGUAAAGGGCUCGUAGGCGGCCAACUAAGUCAGACGUGAAAUCCCUCGGCUUAACCGGGGAGCUGCGUCUGAUACUGGAUGGCUUGAGUUUGGGAGAGGGAUGCGGAAUUCCAGGUGUAGCGGUGAAAUGCGUAGAUAUCUGGAGGAACACCGGUGGCGAAGGCGGCAUCCUGGACCAACACUGACGCUGAGUGAGCGAAAGCCAGGGGAGCAAACGGG